GAAUAUAGCCCCAGAAAGCUAAAGGUGACAGGAGAAGAAUGGUAGCAGUUGGGUGUACCUGCAGUCCUGAAAAUUCUUGAUAGGAUCUCCUUCCCCACAGGUCAGAGGACUGGAAGGUUCUGGGUACAAGAAGAAGGCUGUGAGAGACUCAAAAUGAAAUAAUGAAAGAUCUCAAGAAGCGUGUCAGUGGAUACCUAAUGAAGCUGAAGAUUUUCAGGGAAGGUUUUAAGGAACACAAGAAAUGUAAUGAAGAAAGUUGACAAUGUAUUGUACAAGCAAGGGGAGCCCGCAAUGGUAAGUUCAGUGACUUUCCUUUUUUGUAUAACGUGAUAUGA